CUAUCCAAGCUCGGGCGGGGGCAUAACCUGGAGUAAUGGUUCGUACUAGACAAUAGUACAAGAAACAGGGAGCACCACUUGUAUCUGAAAGUGUUCUACAUGUGAGAGAAAGGCAAAAUACCUAUUCUUCCAGUGUAUCUAGUGAAAUGCACUCAGCAAAGAAUUGAUGGUUGAUGUUUUCCAUGCAUCAUUUUCAAUCUGCUGCAAUAAUCUUCCACUUUUCUGCAAGGGAGUUUGCCCAUAUCUUCUCUUCAUUGCUUUGCUACUGAAGGCAGGAGACAGGUUCCAUCAUAAGGCUUGAGUGGGGAAGGUGAUAGGUUGUGUUUGAGAGCCACUAUGACAUCAGCAGCCCAACCUGACACCAGCCAAUAGCAUUCACUGCACAGGGAUGCAAGAUGGGAAGCAGGGGAGAGACCCUGAGUUAAAGGGAUGACAUGGAAGCAAGCAGUGUACAGAGGGAAGGUGAUGAAGUCAAGGAGGAAUGCAAGCAGUCUGGGAAAGAAGGUGUGGAAGAAGAAAAGCUGAAGGAGACAGAAGCUGGAUCAGGAGAAGCUUGGAGGCUUACAAAAUGAGAAUAAGCCAAUAUUUGAGAAAGAGAAGAGGUGGCAGGAGUUCGAGGGAAGAUGUGAAAUAAUGCAGCAGGCAGGAGGCAUGAAGGCAAAGAGAUGGGAGGGACCAGAGAAGAGAAGAUGACAUCAAAUUGCUUCAACAAAGCUGUUCCAGUGUGGGAAUCUUGUAUAUACACUGCAUCGUUCUCCAUUGCACACUCUCCAAUGCUGUGAAUGAAAGUGAAUUUCCAUGCUCUUGUAGAACUGGCUCAUGCUAAAUUUAAUUUGUUUUGUUCUUCGCA